rnacentral:siRNA from 1 species
GGUUAUUGUUGUAAGGGA